rnacentral:rRNA from 1 species
GAAUAUUGGACGAUGGGGGCAACCCUGAUCCAGCCAUGCCGCGUGUGUGAAGAAGGCCUUUUGGUUGUAGAGCACUUUAAGCAGUGAAGAAGACUCCAUGGUUAAUAACCGUGGACGAUGACAUUAGCUGCAGAAUAAGCACCGGCUAACUCUGGUCCAUCAGCCGCGGUAAUACAGAGGGUGCAAGCGUUAAUCGGAAUUACUGGGCGUAGAGCGAGCGUAGGUGGCUUGAUAAGUCAGAUGUGAAAUCCCCGGGCUUAACCUGGGAACUGCAUCUGAUACUGUUAGGCUAGAAUAGGUGAGAGGAAGGUAGAAUUCCAGGUGUAGCGGUGAAAUGCGUAGAGAUCUGGAGGAAUACCGAUGGCGAAAGCAGCCUUCUGGCAUCAUAUUGACACUGAGGUUCGAAAGCGUGGGUAGCAAAC